AAGUCGUAACAAGGUUUCCGUAGGUGAACCUGCGGAAGGAUCAUUAUAAAAUUUUUCAUAUAUUAAAUUUAUUUAAUAUAUAAAAUUUAUACAAAAAUUGUAUUCAAAACCCACACUCUUUUUUAUAACCAUAAAAAAAUAUAUUAUAUAUUUAUAAUAUAAUAUAAAAAAAAACAACUUUCAACAACGGAUCUCUUGGCUCUC
rnacentral:misc_RNA from 1 species